UAACGCGAAGAACCUUANCAGGUCUUGACAUCUUUUGAUAGCCUAAGAGAUUAGGCGUUCCCUUCGGGGACGGAAUGACAGGUGGUGCAUGGUUGUCGUCAGCUCGUGUCGUGAGAUGUUGGGUUAAGUCCCGCAACGAGCGCAACCCUUAUUGUCAGUUGCCAGCAUUUAGUUGGGCACUCUGGCGAGACUGCCGGUGACAAACCGGAGGAAGGUGGGGAUGACGUCAAAUCAUCAUGCCCCUUAUGACCUGGGCUACACACGUGCUACAAUGGACGGUACAACGAGUCGCGAAACCGCGAGGUCAAGCUAAUCUCUUAAAGCCGUUCUCAGUUCGGAUUGUAGGCUGCAACUCGCCUACAUGAAGUUGGAAUCGCUAGUAAUCGUGGAUCAGC
rnacentral:rRNA from 1 species